rnacentral:rRNA from 1 species
ACGGGAGGCAGCAGUGGGGAAUAUUGCACAAUGGGGGAAACCCUGAUGCAGCGACGCCGCGUGAGUGAUGAAGUAUUUCGGUAUGUAAAGCUCUAUCAGCAGGGAAGAUAAUGACGGUACCUGACUAAGAAGCACCGGCUAAAUACGUGCCAGCAGCCGCGGUAAUACGUAUGGUGCAAGCGUUAUCCGGAUUUAUUGGGUUUAAAGGGUGCGUAGGCGGGAAGUCAAGUCAGCCGUAAAAUCGCCGGGCUCAACCCGGUCCCGCGGUUGAAACUGUCUUCCUUGAGUACACUAGAGGGCGAUGGAAUUCGUGGUGUAGCGGUGAAAUGCAUAGAUAUCACGAAGAACUCCGAUUGCGUAGGCAGUCGCCUGGGGUGCCACUGACGCUGAGGCACGAAGGUGCGGGUAUCAAACAGGAUUAGAUACCCUGGUA